GUGGUAGCUCAGUCGGGUAAGCGCCCGCUUCUCACGCAAGAUAUGCGGGUUCAAAUCCCGGCGCAGACA
rnacentral:tRNA from 1 species